rnacentral:lncRNA from 1 species
ACCGAACACAAUAAAUUCAUUCUAAUUCUAAAAAAAUAAAAUAUAUAAAAAAUUGAAUAUGUAAUAACAUACAAUAUUGACAUGAAGGCAACCCACUAGUUAUAAUAAAGUAAAACAACAUUCUAAUCCUUCAAAGAUUUUGAUCACCUGAGUCCCUCAAGUUUUUUCCACCAAUUAAAUCUCUUAAACAUCAAAUGUGUAUGAUGUUCACUCCUUCGACUAACAUGAUAUACAUUUUGUAAUCCACAUCAUUUGCUUAGGGAAUACCAUGUUCCUCAAUGAGACAAACUUGGUGUCUAUUAUCUCCUAAGUGGAAAAAUUCUUUGAA